AUUGAACGCUGGCGGCAGGCUUAAAACAUGCAAGUCGCGCGAGCGGCGGACGGGUGAGUAAUGUCUGGGAAACUGCCUGAUGGAGGGGGAUAACUACUGGAAACGGUAGCUAAUACCGCAUCCAGUCAAAUGAGCCCAAAUGGGAUUAGCUAGUAGGUGGGGGAAUGGAUCACCUAGGCGACGAUCCCUAGCUGGUCUGGGAGGCUGACCAGCCACACUGGAACUGAGACACGGUCCAGACUCCUACGGGAGGAAGCAGUGGGGAAUAUUGCACAAUGGGCGAAAGCCUGAUGCAGCCAUGCCGCGUGUGUGAAGAAGGCCUUCGGGUUGUAAAGCACUUUCAGCGAGGAGGCGUUACUCGCAGAAGAAGCACCGGCUAACUCCGUGCCAGCCGCCGCGGUAAUAC
rnacentral:rRNA from 1 species